CUGGAGAUGAUGCAGAUGAUGUAUGCCUGAUAUGCAGUGAGGGCUCUGGUAUUCAUACUGUCUGAUCCUG